UACGGAGGAUCCGAGCGUUAUCCGGAUUUAUUGGGUUUAAAGGGUGCGCAGGCGGAAGAUUAAGUCGGUGGUGAAAUUUUGCAGCUCAACUGUAGAAGUGCCAUUGAUACUGGUUUUCUUGAGUGUGGAUGAAGUAGGCGGAAUUUGUGGUGUAGCGGUGAAAUGCAUAGAUAUCACGAGGAACUCCGAUUGCGCAGGCAGCUUACUAAACCAUAACUGACGCUCAGGCACGAAGGCGUGGGGAUCAAACAGGAUUAGA
rnacentral:rRNA from 1 species